GUAGUCUCCGGCCGUGCGGCCUCGGGGCCCGGCUCUCAGCGCCCUCCAGCAGAGCCCCGCGGCCAGCCUCGGGCCGCAAUGGACAUGACACCCCACGAAGCCGAAGGAGUCCUCCCGGGGAGAUGAGCCCGGCCUCGGCCCCUCCUUCGGACGCGGCGUAGCGGGCGCCCGGGGCGGGGGGAAGCGCUCCUCACAGACCCUGUGGGGGCCGCGGCCCAGGAUGGGUUGGACUGCAACGGACGCGAUUAGCAACGCGAAAAAUAGGAGCUGCGUGCAUGACUGUGACUGCCCGGAGCCGCGAACGCAGCCUGGACCUUAUCCCUGAGGCAGGACGGCCCCUCGGACCCCCCGACCGAGAUGUACGCUGGGAACUGUAGUCCGCGCGGGGACCUGGCGCUGCAGGGGGCGGCCCCCAAACAGCGGGCUGCGGGCGUCGGCGGGUGGUUGGAGCAAGUUAGGGGUCGGGCCGGUGGCGGGACUCUGCGGGGAAGAUGGGGCUGGGAGGAUGUGUUUAGUGUCCCUGGGGAUGUCACAGCCACGUCUGCUUUCCCCACCAGCUCUGGGUUCCUCUGCUGAAGUCAGAACUCCUGCUCUUGAGAAUCCCCGAUUCCUAUUUUAUAGGAGUUUCAAUUUCGGGGAGCUUAAUGUGCAUGUUGUAUUCAGUGCUUUGUACACGUGGUAUCGUUAAGUCUUCACAAAGAGCCCCAUUUUACAGAUGACUCAUAGAGAAGUGAAGUCAUUUGUGCAAGGCUACAGAGCUAUAAAUGGCAAAGCAAAAAUGAAAGGCAGUUUUAAAAAUUAACAACCAGGCCGGGCGCGGUGGCUCACGCCUGUAAUCUCAGCGCUAUGGGAGGCCAAGGCGGGCGGAUCACGAGGCCAGGAGUUCGUGACCAGCCUGGCCAGCAUGGUGAAACCCCCGUCUCUACUAUUUAAAAAAAAAAAAAAAAAUUAGCCGGGCGUGGUGGUGUGCGCCUGUAAUCUAUCCCAGCUACUCGGGAGGCUGAGGCAGGAGAAUCGCUUGAACCUGGGAGGUGGAGGUUGCAGUGAGCCAAGAUCACGCCACAGCACUCCAGCCUGGACGACAGGGCAAGACUCCGUCUCAAAAUAAAUAAAUAAAUAAAUAACCAUCGCCACGAUUAACAAAAACAACAACAACAAAAAAAAAAACAACAAAAAACAAACAAACAAAAAACCCACUGCCUUUCUAUUUAAAGAAUGAGGAAAGUAGGUCCCGCAGAGGUUCAGUGACUUCUUCAAGAUCUCUAAGCUUGUAAGAGGCAAAAUUCUGGGUCUUUUUACUUGGCCUCUCCUGAGUGGUAUGGGGUCUAGAGGGAGGAGAGAAGAAGAGGAAAUAAGAGGGACUCUAGUGCCCAAACUCCAGAGAACUGCCCCUCAGGGUCCUUGGGGAAUUGUUCCAUUGUCAGAGGGAAGUGGGUUACCUGGUCUCCUGGCUACCUAGCAGGGACACUCGGAGCAUAUCAAAAAUGCUUGUUGGAAGAGAGAGCCCCAGCUUCAUUCUGAGUAUAAGUGUUUCUGCUAUAACCUGCUAUAUGCAUUCUUAAAAAACCUUCAGUUCUUCAAAACGGUGCACUAAAAUUAACAAGACUUCAUGGAAAAAAUAGAGUUAGAGACAGAUUGCUCAAAAUAUAUGCAACUAGCUGGGCACGGUGGCUCAUGCCUGUAAUCCCAGCACUUUCAGAGGCCGAGGAGGGAGAAUUACUGGAGUCCAGGAGUUUCAGACUAGCCUGGGCAACAUAGGGAGACUCCGUCUCUACAAAAAA
rnacentral:lncRNA from 1 species